rnacentral:rRNA from 1 species
UUGGUUAAGUUAGAAAGGGCGCACGGUGGGAUGCCCUGGCCACUAGGGAGCCGAAGAAGCGACGAUAACCACCAAUGUUUGGGGAGCUGUACGUAAAGGCGUUGAUCCACGGUUUCCGAAAUGGGGGGGAACCCACUAUCUUUGUCGGAUAGUAUCCUUACGUGAUACAUAGCGUGAGGAAGGCAGCCCAAGGAGAACUGAAACCCCAUCUAAGUACCCUGGAGGAAGAGAAAGAAAAAUCGAUUUCCUGAGUAGGGCGAAGGCGAAACGGGAAAGAGCCCAAACCAAGAAGCUUGCUUCCUUGGGGUUGACGUAAGGGACCCCACUCUAUACGGAGUUACAAAAGAAGUUAUAAAAUGAAAGCGGUCUGGAAGGCCCGCCCAAAGGACGGUAUACAGGCCCGGUAGUUGAAAUGGGCUUUCCCUCCAGAGUGGAUCCUGAGUACGGCGGAACCACGUGGGGAAAAUUCCUCGGAAUCCGGGAGGACCAUCUCCCCAAGGGCUAAAUUACUCCCCUAGGACGAAUAGUGAACCAGUACCGUGAGGCGAAAGGUGAAAAGCCACCCCCGGAAGGGGGAGUGAAAAGUUCCUGAAACCGUGAUGCCUACAGUAGUUAGAGCCCGUUAAUGGGUGAUAGCGUGCCCUUUUGUUAGAAUGAACCGGGCGCAGUUACGAUUUAGUUGCAAGGUUAAGCGGGAAAAGCGGAGGCCCGUUUAGCGGAAAGCCGAAGUCGAAUAGGGGCGCAUAAGUAACAUGGUGCGUAAGGACCCGAAACCAGGUGAGUCUACCCAUGUCCAGGAUAGGGUAAGUAAUUACUAUACUGGAAGGUCCGAACCCCACCCCGCACGUUGAAAAGUGCUGGGGAUGAGGUGGUGGUAGCGGAGGGAAAUUCCAAUCGAACUGAGGAUAGGCUGGUUCCUCUCCCGGAAAUUGCUUUUAAGGGCUAGCCUCGAGGUAAAGAGUCAUGGAGGUUAGAGGCACUGUUUGGACAGGGGGCCCUUCUCGGGUUACCGGAAUUCAAGAUACUCCGAAAGCCACUGUUAACUUAAUACUCGGGAGGUCAGGAACUGCGAAGUGGAUAAGGGAUCCGUCAUGUACCGAAAGGGGAACACAGGCCCAGGACCCCCACCAGGUUAAGGGUCCCCCAAAUAUAUGUUAAGCUGGGAAAAAGGAUGUGGGGUUGCUUAGGACAAAACCAGGAUGUUGGCUUAGGAAGCAGCCAACCAUUGAAAGAGUGCGUAAACCUCGUAAUUAGCUGCACUGGGUCGAGGGGGACCCCGCCGAAAAUUACCGGGGCUUAAACAUAUUACCGAAACUGUGGGAUGAACCUCUUUAGAGGGUUCGGUGGUACGGGAGAGCGUUCCUAAGGCGGUGAAGUCAGACCGGGAAGACUGGUGGAGCGCUUAGAAGUGGAGAAUGCCGGUAUGAGUAGCGAAAGGGAAGGGUGAGAAUCCCUUCCACCGAAAUAUCUAAGGUUUCCUGGAGAAGGGGCUCGUCCGCCUCAGGGUUAUCCGGGACCUAAGCCGAGGCCGAUAGGGCGUAGGCGGAUGGGGACAACCAGUAGAGAUUCCUGUUCCAGUGCUAAAUGUUUUAACCAGGAGGGGUGACCACAGAAGGAUAGGGGAUUCGCACGGAAUGGAAAAUGUGCGUCAAGCAGUGAGUGUUGAGGAAGUAGGCAAAUCCGAUUCUCGCGAAGCAUGAGGCUGUGAUGAGGGAAGGGAAAUUAAGUAACCGGGGAAGUUCCCUGAUUUCACCGGCUGGUCAAGAAAAGGCCUUAGGAAGAGUAGCUACUGGCCCGUACCGCAAACCGGAAACCCCCCACAGGUAGAUGAGGAGAGAAAUCUAAGGUGAGCGAGAGAACUCUCGUUAAGGACACUCGCAAAAAAUGACCCCGUAAAACUUCGGAGAAGGGGGGUGCCUCUUUAGGUGCAAGGGCCCGAGAGAGGCCGCAGUGAAUUAGGGCCCAGGGGCGGGACUGUUUAGCAAAAACAAGUCUCUGCCAAAACCGUAAGGACGUAAGGGGCUGACGCCUGCCCGGUGCUGGAAGUUUAAGAGGAGUGCUUAGGCUUCGGCGAAGGUACGAAUUGAAAGGCCCCAGUAAACGGGGGGCCGUAACUAUAACGGUCCCCUAAGGUAGCGAAAUUCUUGUCGGGGGUAAGUUCCGACCCCCGCACGAAAGGCGCAACGAUCUGGUGCACUGUCCUAACGACGAGACUCGGUUAAAUUAUAGUACCUGUGAAGGGGAUGCAGGUUACCCGCGACAGGACGGAAAGACCCCCGUGGAGCUUUACUGCAACCUGACUAUGAAUGAUUAUGACCGCUUUUACAGGAUAGGUAGGAGGCCGAAAAGAGGGACGUGUGCCGCUAGCAUACGAGGAGGCAAUGGUGGGAUACUACCCCUGGCUGUAUGACCAUUUUUCCUAACCCCGCCCCACGGCUUAGCGGCGUGGGGGGGGAGACAGUGUCAGUGGGCAGUUUGACUGGGGGCGGGGUCGGGCCUCCUAAAGAGUAACGGAGGCCGCCCCAAAGGUUCCCUCAGAAUGGGGGAUGGAAAAAUUCAUUCGCAGAGUUAGUAAAGGCACAAGGGGGAGCUUGGGGGGACUGCGAGACUGGGACAAGGUCGAGCAGGGACGAAAUCGGGCUUAGUGGAUCCGGUGGUUCCGCAUGAAAGGGCCAUCGCUCAACGGAUAAAAGCUACUCCCGGGAUAACAGCUUAUCUCCCCCCCAAGAGUCCACAUCGACGGGGAGGUUUGAGCACCCUCGAUGUCGGCUCGUCCGCUACCCCGGGGAUAACAGGCUUAUCUCCCCCAAGAGUCCACAUCGACGGGGAGGUUUGGCACCUCGAUGUCGGCUCGCCGCAUCCUGGGGCUGUAGUCGGUCCCAAGGGCUGGGCUGUUCGCCCAUUAAAGCGGUACGCGAGCUGGGUUCAGAACGUCGUGAGACAGUUCGGUCCCUAUCCGUCGCGGGCGCAGGAAAUUUGAGAGGAGCUGUCCUUAGUACGAGAGGACCGGGAUGGACACACCGCUGGUGUACCAGUUGUUCCGCCAGGAGCAUCGCUGGGUAGCUAUGUGUGGCAGGGAUAAACGCUGAAAGCAUCUAAGCGUGAAGCCCCCCUCAAGAUGAGAUUUCCCAUUUCUUCGGAAAGUAAGAUCCCUGAAAGAUGAUCAGGUAGAUAGGUUUGGAGUGGAAGUGUAGCGAUACAUGGAGCGGACAAAUACUAAUCGAUCGAGGACUUAACCAAAA